GACGAACCGAGCGAACGUUGUUCGGAAUCACUGGGCUUAAAGGGCGCGUAGGCGGGCGAUCAAGUCGGUGGUGAAAUCCUGCAGCUUAACUGCAGAACUGCCUCCGAUACUGGUGGUCUCGAGGAAGGUAGGGGCGUGCGGAACAGUUGGUGGAGCGGUGAAAUGCGUUGAUAUCAACUGGAACUCCGGUGGCGAAGGCGGCACGCUGGACCUUUUCUGACGCUGAGGCGCGAAAGCCAGGGGAGCAAAGCGGG
rnacentral:rRNA from 1 species